GGCAUUGUGGUGUAGUGGUUUCAGCACUGGACUAUGACUCUGGAGACCAGGGUUUGAUUCCCCACUCGGCCA